AUCGACUGUUUAACAAAAACAUCGUCUUUUGUCAACUUACAUAGAAGAUAAUGCCUGCCCAGUGAAAAUUUUAAACGGCCGCGUUAGCGUGAGCGUGCUAAGGUAGCGUAAUAAAUAGCCUCUUAAUUGGAGGCCAGUGAAUGGCAAGACUAGGGAUAUCUGUACCCUGUAUAAAAAAACAACUUUUCAUUUGGGUGAAAAGACCCACAUAAUAAAGGAAGACGAAAAGACCCCGCGGAGCUUUACCUUUUCCAGUACUAACAUGCUCAGAAACAUGAAAACGAAAGGUUUGAUUGGGGCAAUCUUGGAACCAACCAAACUUCCAACUUACUAUAAUAAAGAUAUAAAACUUAAUAAGAACCAAAAAGAAGCUACCCCGGGGAUAACAGCGUAAUCCAACUUGAGAGUACACAUCGAAAGCUGGGUUUGCGACCUCGAUGUUGGCUUAAGGACAUCCACAUAAGUGCAACCGCUAUGACAGGAUAGUCUGUUCGACUAUUAUACCCUUACAUGAGCUGA
rnacentral:rRNA from 1 species